CCCUCUAACCACUUCGAAAAGGUUGUUCUAAUACGUGUGUGGUUACUUUAACUUUGGUUUUGUUUUAUGACACGUAUGCCUGCUGGAUUUAUAGUCCACCAAGAGGAACCCAUUAGACCUCACUUUCUAGGAACACUGCUUUUUAUUAUCUUAAUAUUUCAUUUAUUUUCUCAUCCUCAUCCUGCAAAAUUUUUACAUCCAGAUGCAGUGGUGCUCUUUUUGCUUGUGUGGCAGCAGCUCAA